rnacentral:snRNA from 11 species
GUGUCUGUUGUGUGGAUGAGAGCACCUCCAAUGAUCAUUCACUGACCCAAGCAUGGAAAACGUUUCAUUGUUCAUUCACUCACGUCGCACCUGGCCAGACAAACAGCUCACACGACACGCGACAACACGCGACGCACAGCACAGGCUGGCACCACAGAAAGCAGCAUUGCACGCCGCCGGCCACUGAAGAAUG